GACGAACGCUGGCGGCGUGCCUAAUACAUGCAAGUAGAACGCUGAAGGAGGAGCUUGCUCUUCUGGAUGAGUUGCGAACGGGUGAGUAACGCGUAGGUAACCUGCCUGGUAGCGGGGGAUAACUAUUGGAAACGAUAGCUAAUACCGCAUAACAGUAGAUGUUGCAUGACAUUUACUUAAAAGGUGCAAUUGCAUCACUACCAGAUGGACCUGCGUUGUAUUAGCUAGUUGGUGGGGUAACGGCUCACCAAGGCGACGAUACAUAGCCGACCUGAGAGGGUGAGAGGCCAAACUGGGACUGAGACACGGCCCAGAAUCCUACGGGAGACAGCAGUAGGGAAUCUUCGGGAAUGGACGGAAGUCUGACCGAGCAACGCCGCGUGAGUGAAGAAGGUUUUCGGAUCGUAAAGCUCUGUUGUAAGAGAAGAACGAGUGUGAGAGUGGAAAGUUCACACUGUGACGGUAUCUGACCAGAAAGGGACGGCUAACUACGUG
rnacentral:rRNA from 1 species